rnacentral:rRNA from 1 species
CCUACGGGAGGCAGCAGUGGGGAAUAUUGGACAAUGGGGGGAACCCUGAUCCAGCCAUGCCGCGUGUGUGAAGAAGGCCCUCGGGUUGUAAAGCACUUUCAGUGAGGAAGAACGCCUGGUGGUUAAUACCCAUCAGGAAAGACAUCACUCACAGAAGAAGCACCGGCUAACACCGUGCCAGCAGCCGCGGUAAUACGGAGGGUGCGAGCGUUAAUCGGAAUUACUGGGCGUAAAGCGCGCGUAGGUGGCUUGAUAAGCCGGUUGUGAAAGCCCCGGGCUCAACCUGGGAACGGCAUCCGGAACUGUCAAGCUAGAGUGCAGGAGAGGAAGGUAGAAUUCCCGGUGUAGCGGUGAAAUGCGUAGAGAUCGGGAGGAAUACCAGUGGCGAAGGCGGCCUUCUGGACUGACACUGACACUGAGGUGCGAAAGCGUGGGUAGCAAACAGGAUUAGAUACCCGUGUAGUC